ensembl:lncRNA
ACAAGAUCAAUCGGCAGCCGGUUCGAGGGGUCUUUUACGAGCCAUCCGCCAUGCUGGAUGGUCUAACAUUUGGGGGCUCGUCCCAGAUUUGCGACCACCCUUCACCUGUAUGGAUUCGAUCUUGGAGACAGACUGCCAGAUCCGAACAGUGACCCAAAGUCUCCAAAGAAGAUUAUGAGGCACCCAGUUCCUGCACCUGGACCAGUGAGCGAGAUGCUCAGAUAUGAUACCUGCCGCCUGCUAGAACCUGGCCGAGACUGUGGACAAAGCUGCUGGACACUGGAAAAUUGAUUGCACCGCCUUUGCCUAGACUAAACAAGGUCAGUCUUUUCCAUGUCCCUCUUCUACAGAGAGGAAAAAAAAAAAAACCUCUCACAGUAUAGGCCUGGCGAAGAUUGCUAUUCUUUGAGACGGCGGCCUCCAGCGGUAAUGGAGAAACUUGGGUUUGGCUAACUGUAUAUGGACUGGCUUCUAACUGGCUUCUGUCACUUUUUAGUAGAUUCAGAUAAAAUAUACCCUUCUCAGAUCUCUGAAAUAUUACUGGUUGUCAGUUUGACAGCAUCAGGCAGUCAGAUCCACGAUAGACUAGUCAGUAUGUUACCUGAUAAAGUAGUGACUACCUAUUUGUUCAGGCACAAGCUCAAGGUUUUUAAGUUUAUUUUGGAUGUCAUCUAAGUACAAACUUAAAGGGCUUUUCAUCAGGCCAAAGGCACCUCUGUCCAAUCCAUACCUGGCUCUCUGGACAGAAGAAAAAUGUACAUGCUUAUAGCCCAAAUCUGUAGUUUUUGCUAGGACUCAAAGUUAUAAAUAAGUUCCUGCUGUUUGAACAGAUAUUCAGAUAUCUGCUUUUUCUGCACUGUGGGCUUCAGUAACUAAGUUUUAACCUCUGUUCCUAGUUUAAACAUGACUUAAACAGCCUUCUGCUUCUGGCAGAUAUCUGAGUAUCAGUUGCUGACUACAGGCUCUUCUAAGUGGACUGCAAGCCCUGGACUUGCUGUGGAUGUGAACCAGUCCAGCUGAUAUGGACACCCCCUGUCUCUGCAACAGUGUCUGCUAACCAGAAGCCCCUGAUGAAUUCCCCAUUGCCUAAAUUCCUUUUUGCUUUUGACUAGCAUUUCAACCUUCUGGGGUCCCUAACUUCGUCCCAAAGUCAGCAGGAAGCAGUUUGGAAAAGAAUUUCGCCGUCCAUUUUCCCUGGUUAAAAUGCUAAGUCAAAAGGAACUCCCUUGCAUGGGGAUGCCAAUAUCUAUCACUCCCUGAUGGGGAUGCUAGAGAGACAGCAAUUCCAUGAAAGGAAUUUCCAAAAAAGAAAAGGGGGAAUGAAGGAACCAGCUUCCCUUUUGGCAGCCAUAACAGCUGAACACGUGCUUGCCAUAAACCUGCCUUGGUCACUUAGAGGUCAGAUGCCUGUCUCCUGACAAGGAGCCAAUCAGAAGUUAGCUGGUGGCACACCAUGGGUGUGCUUUACGGACAAGCGCACAACAAUGACGUAGAGGGCAUAGCAACCACCCUGUGAGGGCCCAUGGGCCAUAACAACCAGUUGACCAAUCAACACAGGGCAAGCCCUCCAAGGCUGGAGGCACACCAAUCGUGAGCCUGUGCGUAACCCUAGACACUCCCAUACACUGCCCUAUAAAAUCUUUUGGGAGCCCCUAGGAGCAGUUUUUCUAGCCAUCCGCCAUGGCGGAUGGAUGAAAGACACAAGCUAACAUGGGGUUAGCUCGUUAAAUUACAAUAAAGCCUCGUGCAGUUUGCAGCAAGCUCUCGAAUCUGCCUGGUGAUUGGGGUGACCGUGAACGUGGCCUGGGACCCGGGAUAACUGAGGUUUCCGGGAGUCUAACAUUCACCACUGCCUGGCUCUUUUUACUUAUUAAGAAAAAAGAUACUG